CAAAGAUUUGGUCCUAAUCUUACUAUCAGCUUUAACCCAGUUUACACAUGCAAGUCUCCGCAGCCCCGUGAGAAUGCCCUUACUCCCCCUACCGGGGACGAGGAGCUGGUAUCAGGCCCAAAAAUAGCCCAAGACACCUUGCUUAGCCACACCCCCAAGGGUUCUCAGCAGUGAUAAACAUUAAUACAUAAGUGAAAACUUGACUUAGCCAGGGUUAAGAGGGCCGGUAAAACUCGUGCCAGCCACCGCGGUUAUACGAGAGACCCAAGCUGAUAGCUUCGGCGUAAAGAGUGGUUAUAGACACCCCCCCCACUAAAGCUAAAGACUUUUCUAGCCGUUAUACGCUCAUAAAAGCUCGAACAUCAUCAACGAAAGUGGCUUUAAACACACUAGAACCCACGACAGCUAAGACACAAACUGGGAUUAGAUACCCCACUAUGCCUAGCCGUAAACUUAGAUAUCAAAGUACAAAAGAUAUCCGCCAGGGGACUACGAGCGUAGCUUAAAACCCAAAGGACUUGGCGGUGCUUCAGACCCACCUAGAGGAGCCUGUUCUAGAACCGAUAAUCCCCGUUAAACCUCACUAUCUCUUGUCCAUCCCGCCUAUAUACCACCGCCGCCAGCUUACCCCAUGAGGGCACCACAGUAAGCAAGACGAACAUUGUUCAAAACGUCAGGUCGAGGUGUAGCGUACGAGAUAGGAAGAAAUGGGCUACAUUACCUAAACUAGGUCAUUACGAAAGGUAUUUCUGAAACGACAACCAGAAGGUGGAUUUAGCAGUAAACGAAGAAUAGAGUGCAUUAUUGAAGCCGGCUCUGAAGCGCGCACACACCGCCCGUCACUCUCCCCAAUAGCCCCCAACUUAGUUAUUAACAUCUUAAAUGGCCACAAGGGGAGGUAAGUCGUAACAUGGUGAGUGUACCGGAAGGUGCACUUGGAAUAAC
rnacentral:ncRNA from 1 species